rnacentral:rRNA from 1 species
GAUGAACGCUAGCGGCAGGCCUAAUACAUGCAAGACGAACGGUAACUUUGAUAGCAAUAUUGAAGCAAGAGUGUCGUACGGGUGCGUAACACGUAUGCAACCUACCCUUUACAGGCGGAUAGCUCGGGGAAACUCGAAUUAACCCGCCAUAAUAUAGUUGAAUGGCAUCAUUUAAUUAUUAAAACCCAGGUGGUAAAGGAUGGGUAUGCGUCUGAUUAGUUAGUUGGUGAGGUAAUGGCUCACCAAGACGAUGAACAGUAGGGGAACGGAGAGGUUGAUCCCCCACACUGGUACUGGGAUACGGGCCAGACUCCUACGGGAGGCAGCAGUAGGGAAUAUUGGUCAAUGGGUGAGAGCCUGAACCAGCCAUGCCGCGUGCAGGAAGAAGGCCUUCUGGGUUGUAAACUGCUUUUGUCAGGGGAUAAAAAGCUCGUGCGCGAGUAAUUGCAGGUACCUGAUGAAUAAGCCACGGCUAACUACGUGCCAGCAGCCGCCGUAAAAC